rnacentral:rRNA from 1 species
UUGAACGCUGGCGGCAGGCCUAACACAUGCAAGUCGAACGGUAACAGAAAGCAGCUUGCUGCUUUGCUGACGAGUGGCGGACGGGUGAGUAAUGUCUGGGAAACUGCCUGAUGGAGGGGGAUAACUACUGGAAACGGUAGCUAAUACCGCAUAACGUCGCAAGACCAAAGAGGGGGACCUUCGGGCCUCUUGCCAUCGGAUGUGCCCAGAUGGGAUUAGCUUGUUGGUGGGGUAACGGCUCACCAAGGCGACGAUCCCUAGCUGGUCUGAGAGGAUGACCAGCCACACUGGAACUGAGACACGGUCCAGACUCCUACGGGAGGCAGCAGUGGGGAAUAUUGCACAAUGGGCGCAAGCCUGAUGCAGCCAUGCCGCGUGUAUGAAGAAGGCCUUCGGGUUGUAAAGUACUUUCAGCGGGGAGGAAGGGAGUAAAGUUAAUACCUUUGCUCAUUGACGUUACCCGCAGAAGAAGCACCGGCUAACUCCGUGCCAGCAGCCGCGGUAAUACGGAGGGUGCAAGCGUUAAUCGGAAUUACUGGGCGUAAAGCGCACGCAGGCGGUUUGUUAAGUCAGAUGUGAAAUCCCCGGGCUCAACCUGGGAACUGCAUCUGAUACUGGCAAGCUUGAGUCUCGUAGAGGGGGGUAGAAUUCCAGGUGUAGCGGUGAAAUGCGUAGAGAUCUGGAGGAAUACCGGUGGCGAAGGCGGCCCCCUGGACGAAGACUGACGCUCAGGUGCGAAAGCGUGGGGAGCAAACAGGAUUAGAUGCCCUGGUAGUCCACGCCGUAAACGAUGUCGACUUGGAGGUUGUGCCCUUGAGGCGUGGCUUCCGGAGCUAACGCGUUAAGUCGACCGCCUGGGGAGUACGGCCGCAAGGUUAAAACUCAAAUGAAUUGACGGGGGCCCGCACAAGCGGUGGAGCAUGUGGUUUAAUUCGAUGCAACGCGAAGAACCUUACCUGGUCUUGACAUCCACAGAACUUUCCAGAGAUGGAUUGGUGCCUUCGGGAACUGUGAGACAGGUGCUGCAUGGCUGUCGUCAGCUCGUGUUGUGAAAUGUUGGGUUAAGUCCCGCAACGAGCGCAACCCUUAUCCUUUGUUGCCAGCGGUCCGGCCGGGAACUCAAAGGAGACUGCCAGUGAUAAACUGGAGGAAGGUGGGGAUGACGUCAAGUCAUCAUGGCCCUUACGACCAGGGCUACACACGUGCUACAAUGGCGCAUACAAAGAGAAGCGACCUCGCGAGAGCAAGCGGACCUCAUAAAGUGCGUCGUAGUCCGGAUUGGAGUCUGCAACUCGACUCCAUGAAGUCGGAAUCGCUAGUAAUCGUGGAUCAGAAUGCCACGGUGAAUACGUUCCCGGGCCUUGUACACACCGCCCGUCACACCAUGGGAGUGGGUUGCAAAAGAAGUAGGUAGCUUAACCUUCGGGAGGGCGCUUACCACUUUGUGAUUCAUGACUGGGGUG